CGUCAAUUACGUUUGCACUGAC
rnacentral:miRNA from 1 species